AGAUGUAAAUGCAGACGUCAAAUAGAUGUCUUUGUGAUACUUUGAAAGGCUACGUGUUCAGCUGUAAGAAAGCGCAAUGCGUUUGCGUCAAAACUUAAGUAUAUUUAAAAUGACGCGACCGAGGCUAAAUUCACAAUAGUACGGCAUAUUACUCUCACUAGACCUAUAAAAGGUAAGAAUAAAUAUAAAGCUGCGUUCACACUAGCAGCGACUUUUGUUGUUGCAUGUCGAACGGGGCUCAAAUCAGGAGCGACGCGAACACAGCAUCGCGUGAUCCGUUUCAUGGCGUGCAAACAGAAGCCAAGUUCGAGCGAUUUUACUGACGCUUCUUUACUAAAUCGCUGUUUGUGUGAAUGGGAUGUUACGAAAACAGGCCUACGUAUUAUAGCCUACUGUUUUCACUUUGAGAUCCUCAGACAAAUCCCCUUCGCUGAACACUUAGAUUACUGUAAUCAUAUUUGAACACAGCUUGACCACUUGCCAUUUGAAAACGCCAGUCAUUUCCUCUUCCCAUCCCGGCGUGUUGUUAGUGCUGCUGUGCUCUCGCUUUGACAUUCAUGGGCUCCAGGUCUUAUCUGAAUGAUUGAAUGCCGGCGUUUGCCGAGCUAAAUUGCGUCGUUUCAAUCCGGGAGAGAGUUCCCUCCGGAUUCAGCGCGGGUCCCGGUAGGCCAGCCUUCGAAAAGAACAGCAUGUUGUACAUCCACAUAAAACGGAAAAAAUAUGAGAGGAAACAUCAUCCAUGUGAAAAAAAUGUCAGUAAGGCCAUCCGGGUCGAGCUUUCCAUAAGAGGAAUGAGGCCUGCUGGGGCCAUUAGAAAUGCAUUGUCAACUCUUCAGCGGAUCUCACCCUCAGAGACCACAAACUAAACAGGGGAAAGAUCUAGUGGAGAAGCCUCUUUCUGGUCCAAGGAUGUACAUCAACGCUGGAAGGAAAGUUGAGUUUCAUGGGGUCUUCAAAGAAAAGUCUCACCCAAGAUGGAAGGAAGGGUUAAAAGGCUCACAAACCUUUCUGGAGGUGAGGAACGCUUCUCUCAGACAUGAUGGAGAUCCAGCACUUCACAUCAGUGCCUUUUCGUUUGACCCCAGCAUCAUACAGGGCCUGCACAGAAG